GGGGGUAUAGCUCGAGUUGUAGAGCGCACCUUUAGCAUGCAUGAAGCCCUGGGUUCAAUCCCCAGUAUUUCUU
rnacentral:tRNA from 1 species